AAGACCUUGCGCUUUUGGAGCGGCCGAUGCCUGAUUAGCUAGUUGGUGGGGUAAAAGCCUACCAAGGCAACGAUCAGUAGUUGGUCUGAGAGGACGGCCAGCCACACUGGGACCGAGACACGGCCCAGACUCCUACGGGAGGCAGCAGUGGGGAAUUUUGGACAAUGGGCGCAAGCCUGAUCCAGCAAUGCCGCGUGAGUGAAGAAGGCCUUCGGGUUGUAAAGCUCUUUCAGUCGAGAAGAAAAGAUUGUGACGAAUAAUCACAAUUCAUGACGGUAUCGACAGAAGAAGCACCGGCUAACUACGUGCCAGCAGCCGCGGUAAUACGUAGGGUGCAAGCGUUAAUCGGAAUUACUGGGCGUAAAGGGUGCGCAGGCGGCUUUGUAAGUCAGAUGUGAAAUCCCCGGGCUUAACCUGGGAAUU
rnacentral:rRNA from 1 species